GGCGGCCGUAGCGCGGUGGUCCCACCUGACCCCAUGCCGAACUCAGAAGUGAAACGCCGUAGCGCCGAUGGUAGUGUGGGGUCUCCCCAUGCGAG
rnacentral:rRNA from 1 species